rnacentral:rRNA from 1 species
UACGGGGGGGGGUAAGCGUUGUUCGGAAUUACUGGGCGUAAAGGGCUUGUAGGUGGCCAACUAAGUCCGACGUGAAAUCCCUAGGCUUAACCUAGGAACUGCGUCGGAUACUGGAUGGCUUGAAUCCGGGAGAGGGAUGCGGAAUUCCAGGUGUAGCGGUGAAAUGCGUAGAUAUCUGGAGGAACACCGGUGGCGAAGGCGGUUCUCUGGGCAUUACCUGACGCUGAGGAGCGAAAGUGGUGGGGAGCGAACAGG